rnacentral:tRNA from 2 species
GCUGCGGUGUCCGAGUGGUUAAGGAGAUGGACUUGAAAUCCAUUGGGUUCUACCCGCACAGGUUCGAAUCCUAUCCGCAGCG